UAAACGGCCCUUUUAAGGGCCACCUAGUUAAUGGAAAGAGAUUGAA
rfam:Ciona savignyi cont_59654, whole genome shotgun sequence.